rnacentral:rRNA from 1 species
CUACGUGCCAGCAGCCGCGGUAAUACGUAGGUCCCGAGCGUUGUCCGGAUUUAUUGGGCGUAAAGCGAGCGCAGGCGGUUUGAUAAGUCUGAAGUUAAAGGCUGUGGCUCAACCAUAGUUCGCUUUGGAAACUGUCAAACUUGAGUGCAGAGGGGGAGAGUGGAAUUCCAUGUGUAGCGGUGAAAUGCGUAGAUAUAUGGAGGAACACCGGUGGCGAAAGCGGCUCUCUGGUCUGUAACUGACGCUGAGGCUCGAAAGCGUGGGGAGCGAACAGGAUUAGAUACCCUGGUAGUCCACGCCGUAAACGAUGAGUGCUAGGUGUUGGAUCCUUUCCGGGAUUCAGUGCCGCAGCUAACGCAUUAAGCACUCCGCCUGGGGAGUACGACCGCAAGGUUGAAACUCAAAGGAAUUGACGGGGGCCCGCACAAGCGGUGGAGCAUGUGGUUUAAUUCGAAGCAACGCGAAGAACCUUACCAGGUCUUGACAUCCCGAUGCUAUUUCUA